GACGAACGCUGGCGGCGUGCUUAACACAUGCAAGUCGAGCGGUAAGGCCCUUUCGGGGGUACACGAGCGGCGAACGGGUGAGUAACACGUGGGUGACCUGCCCUCAGCUCUGGGAUAAGCCUGGGAAACUGGGUCUAAUACCGGAUAUGACUCCAUGACGCAUGUUGUGGGGUGGAAAGCCUUGUGCGGCUGAGGAUGGGCCCGCGGCCUAUCAGCUUGUUGGUGGGGUGANGGCCUACCAAGGCGACGACGGGUAGCCGGCCUGAGAGGGCGACCGGCCACACUGGGACUGAGACACGGCCCAGACUCCUACGGGAGGGCAGCAGUGGGGAAUCUUGCGCAAUGGGCGAAAGCCUGACGCAGCGACGCCGCGUGAGGGAUGACGGCCUGGUGU
rnacentral:rRNA from 1 species